UACGUCAGUGGCAGACGGGUGAGUAACGCGUGGGAACGUACCUUUUGGUUCGGAACAACUGAGGGAAACUUCAGCUAAUACCGGAUAAGCCCUUACGGGGAAAGAUUUAUCGCCGAAAGAUCGGCCCGCGUCUGAUUAGCUAGUUGGUGAGGUAAUGGCUCACCAAGGCGACGAUCAGUAGCUGGUCUGAGAGGAUGAUCAGCCACAUUGGGACUGAGACACGGCCCAAACUCCUACGGGAGGCAGCAGUGGGGAAUAUUGGACAAUGGGGGCAACCCUGAUCCAGCCAUGCCGCGUGAGUGAUGAAGGCCCUAGGGUUGUAAAGCUCUUUUGUGCGGGAAGAUAAUGACGGUACCGCAAGAAUAAGCCCCGGCUAACUUCGUGCCAGCAGCCGCGGUAAUACGAAGGGGGCUAGCGUUGCUCGG
rnacentral:rRNA from 1 species